ACGGGAGCGGCCCUAGAAAAGGCAAAAAAAGACACACACACAAAAAAGAUAGCAUUUUCUUCUCUGCCCGAAGAAGUAGCUGAUGCACAGCCAAGCCUACACCUUCCACUUAUCAAUUCUAAGCAACUGCUUUUCUUUAGGGGAUGGUAUGGCUCAUGGUUCCACUUCUGGAGGUGGAAGAAGACAUUAGGAACGGGGUUGGACCACGUAAGUAGCAAUAAUAACAUGCGAUGCUCUCAGGUAAUUGUCCUCAACCCCAUCUCGCAGACGAGGAAACAGAAGCACACCUGUGGUAACCACGUGAUGUGCUGUGGCUCACGUGGCACAGCAGACCUGGGAGGUGCGACUUAUUUAGAGAUGAAGGAACUGCGAAGUCAGGCAGCCUGCCCAAGGUCACCUGGCCAGCAGGUGGCAGGGACACUGCUAAAUCAAACCCUGCAUAGCUGAUCUCCUGUAAUCCUCCCAAGACCACUAAGAGAAAGGCAUUCUCCCCACUGAAGAGAUGAAGAGACUGAAUCGGAGAAGCCCAGCGCAUCCAGUUCCCCAUCGUGGUCACCGCACAGCACCAUGUGUGGCGGGCGAGAAUCAGAUGCGUGUGGUCCGUGGAGAGAAAGAACCCAGGCUCACGUGGAAGAAACUGCUUAGGAGAAAAGAGGAAGAAAGUUGAGGAGAGGAACGUUCCCAGCCCGCUAGUAUCUCUACUUCCACACACCGCCCCCAGCUCCAGACUGAAUUGCCUGUGUAUGAUGGAGCCUGGUGACAGCAGUUCAAUGACCAGCUCUUUGGCACUGGAACCAAGAAGCUGCAGUCUGGUGAUGAGGCUUCGAGCUGCUGGAAAUGUCUCCCAGGCAAGUUGCAUAACGUGGGUGUGUUUGGGGUCUUCAUCUGUGAAAUGGGGUAAAGAUGAUACCUGCCUUACAGAGCAUCGUCGUGUGGGAUCAGUGAGUUGGCUCGCGGCAAGCCCUCGCAUUGAGCGCUCAGUCUAUUUUAGGGGUUCUCAUGAAUAGUGUUUCUAAAAUAUUUGGAAGGUCGGUCCAUUACCGAGAUAAAAAGAAAUUCUGGAAAAACAGAGCUCUUGGAAUGUAAUAUUAUACGAGAGCUCAGGAAGUGGACGCAGCCCAGGGAGGAACGAGUCA